GGGUGUCCGGUAAAUUGUUUACGGGCAGGUUUCAAGCUGGUCGGGCCGCCAGCA
rfam:Bartonella apis strain PEB0149 NODE_2_len_568743_cov_90_4119_ID_3.7, whole genome shotgun sequence.